rnacentral:lncRNA from 1 species
GAAGAGUUAACACUUUAUUAAGGCUUAGCCCAUCACAGUAACAAUGGCCAGCUGAGAGCCUUAGCUGGGGCAAUGAACAAGGGUAAUUCUGAAUCUCACACCCAAGGUGGAGCUGGGUUGCAAAAGAAAAUGGGAUUCCCUAAAUCUCAAUCCCCUUCCAAGAACACAAAUGGAGGACGUAAGUUUGGAUGAGAGUGUCCUCAACAGAAGGGCUGGUAGUGUCUGGCAUCUUCUCAGCUGGACCAUGCUGACAGAGCCGCCACGUGUGAGGCAUGCUUCGUUUCCCUUCAUUUCUGUCCAACUGUUCUUACAGACAGUGGAGGAAUUGGAUCCACCGGUUAGCAGUGGCAGUCAUCAGUGAGCACCCCAGAAUUUGUAUGUUAAACAAAGUGCCACUCAUGAAGGACAAGAGCAGUAACCUCCAGCUUCACAAAAUCUCUGCCUGCCUUUUCCAGCUGUGCCGAAAAUCUUUUUCCCAUUUAAGCUCGUACUUAAACUGAUGUUCAUCACCAGUUGAGAAGGACUCAUCUGGAGAAGAGAACAGGCGGAGGAGUGCCAGGAAUCUGUAGUGCCACCAGCGACAAUGAGAGAAAUGUCAUCUACACUUCUGCAUCACUUCCUAGAUCUCUGGGUAGGUGACAAGGAAACACAAACGCAACAAUUCUGUGACAAUUUGCAUUGUUAUUUGUUUUGAUGAAUUCGUGCUCUUUAAAUAAAAAGCUGUUAUACAUUUUAAUUAAGAG